UUUAUUAUCGUAUUUCUAUGACAUAUAUUUGCCAGCUGGACCACUGUGUGAAUCACGCAUAUUGAGCACGUCAGGAUCUGAAUAGGACCUUUGCAGGAAUAAAUAUUCCAGGGUGCUCAUAGGACCCUCACAAAUUUGAGGCAUGUUACAAUAAAUUUCACCAAAGUUUAGGUAUAUUUCUAAUCUUUUUCUCUUAAUAAUAAAUAGACAGUUAGACCUCUUUAUAACAAACCCUGGUUAUAACGAUAUUUCACUAUAGCGACCUUAUUUUCUUCGAAACAGAUUUUUCAUAUUAUAUGUUACUUCUCUAUAACGAAAUUCUACCUAUAACAACAUUGAUGUUUAUUAUAGUGGUAGACUGUUUAUAAAAUUAUCUCUCUA
rnacentral:lncRNA from 1 species